GCUAAGGUCAGUUUACCCAUAAAUAGGUAGAUUAUUUACCCAUAUUUGGGUUUCGUAUCCAUUACCAAUAAUAUGGGUAAAGUUUACCAAUAAAUAUUGGUAAAAUUCACCCAUAUUCUUGAUGAAGUGACUUUACUCAUAUAUGAGUAAAGACUGUUUACCCAUAUUUGGAUGAAAAAAAUAAUAUUUUCUAGAGGCAGCACCGAAAUCGGCCAUUCGCUCGGUUCAUCAAAAAUAAAACAAUUGUUUUAGUUAACUAUUCUCGGAAUUAUUGGAGAACGUUGAGGCAAAUUUGCAAAUUACACAACGCCUAGGUGAAGAGGAAGCAGGUGACCUCUGAACAGAAAAAAAAUUCCUUCGAGGUGGAUUACGGUUGGAACCAGUUGAAUCAGCAGGAUUCUCUGCAAGUGCUCUCGUGUUGGAUUUAGCACCGCUCGAUGAGCUGAAUUUGAGCGUCUUAGUGGAACACGCCCAGCAAUCCACCGGAGUGCAAAUAAACCGGAGACGCACGUUGACCGUGAACGAAUCGUCUAGGACUCCGCUCCCCCUGAUGCCAAAUUUGAAUAGGCCGGCCGGAUGAUGCAAACCGCCCGUAGAAGAAGGAAGUGGCAUUCUCGUUGUAGAAGUGUUCUGUCUAUGCCUCGGCUCCCCCGAGAGCAGUUGAAACCCACCCGAACCAGAGUGGGAGUGGGAAGUAAACCGACACAAGUGGCUCAAGUCCGGACAUUAUUAGAACCAGGGAGGAGUUUGCAUCAAUAUCUGAUUUGUGCAUCUCACUCCCGGUCCUACUCAUCCUGGUCGAGAUCCUGGCCUCAAACGCCCAUACGAGCAGGCGCAAGAGUCGACAAACUGCAUCAGCUGGCGGACCCUCCGGAGCGCAUUGUCCGGAAGAAAGCAGGCGAGCUCCACCAUCAGGAAGCUAUUCGCGAUCCUUUCACCAUUGAUGUUGCUGCACGAUCCAGUCUUUUCCUAUGUAAAACGAAACGCCGACCCAAUCGUUAAAAUCAAUCACCAAAACCCUGCAUGUAUUUUUUU